UAGAGUUUGAUCCUGGCUCAGGAUGAACGCUAGCUACAGGCUUAACACAUGCAAGUCGAGGGGCAGCAUGGUCUUAGCUUGCUAAGACUGAUGGCGACCGGCGCACGGGUGAGUAACACGUAUCCAACCUGCCGUCUACUCUUGGACAGCCUUCUGAAAGGAAGAUUAAUACAAGAUGGCAUCAUGAGUCCGCAUGUUCACAUGAUUAAAGGUAUUCCGGUAGACGAUGGGGAUGCGUUCCAUUAGAUAGUAGGCGGGGUAACGGCCCACCUAGUCUUCGAUGGAUAGGGGUUCUGAGAGGAAGGUCCCCCACAUUGGAACUGAGACACGGUCCAAACUCCUACGGGAGGCAGCAGUGAGGAAUAUUGGUCAAUGGGCGAGAGCCUGAACCAGCCAAGUAGCGUGAAGGAUGACUGCCCUAUGGGUUGUAAACUUCUUUUAUAAAGGAAUAAAGUCGGGUAUGGAUACCCGUUUGCAUGUACUUUAUGAAUAAGGAUCGGCUAACUCCGUGCCAGCAGCCGCGGUAAUACGGAGGAUCCGAGCGUUAUCCGGAUUUAUUGGGUUUAAAGGGAGCGUAGAUGGAUGUUUAAGUCAGUUGUGAAAGUUUGCGGCUCAACCGUAAAAUUGCAGUUGAUACUGGAUAUCUUGUGUGCAGUUGAGGCAGGCGGAAUUCGUGGUGUAGCGGUGAAAUGCUUAGAUAUCACGAAGAACUCCGAUUGCGAAGGCAGCCUGCUAAGCUGCAACUGACAUUGAGGCUCGAAAGUGUGGGUAUCAAACAGGAUUAGAUACCCUGGUAGUCCACACGGUAAACGAUGAAUACUCGCUGUUUGCGAUAUACGGCAAGCGGCCAAGCGAAAGCGUUAAGUAUUCCACCUGGGGAGUACGCCGGCAACGGUGAAACUCAAAUGAAUUGACGGAA
rnacentral:rRNA from 1 species